GAUGAACGCUGGCGGCGUGCCUAACACAUGCAAGUCGAGCGAACAUACGAGGAGCUUGCUUUUCUUACGUUAGUGGCGGACGGGUGAGUAACACGUGGGUAACCUACCUUGGAGAGUGGGAUAACUUUUGGAAACCGGAGCUAAUACCGGAUAAGCUAUUGAUCCGGAUUGGUCUUGAGGGAAAGACGUUUAUGCUGUCACUGAUAGACUCGUGCGCGCUGAAUUAGUUAGUUGGUAAGGUAACGACUUACCAAGGCAAUGAUGCGUAGCCGACCUGAGAGGGUGGUCGGCCACACUGGCACUGAGACACGGUCCAGACUCCUACGGGAGGCCACAGUAGGGAAUCUUCCGCAAUGGGGGAAAGCUUGACAGAGCAACGCCGCGUGAGUGAUGAAGGUCUUCGGAUCGUAAAACUCUGUUAUUAGGGAGAAACAAAUGUGUAAGUAACUGUGCCCGUCUUGACGGUACCUAAUAAGAAAGCCACGGCUAACUACGUG
rnacentral:rRNA from 1 species